ACAGCCAGAUCACAUUGAAACACCAGUUCGCAUACGAUCACUGAGGUUAAGCAGUCUCGAGCCUGGUCAGUACCUAGAUAGGUAACCGUUUGGGAAUAUCAGGUGCUGUAAG